UACGGAGGGUGCAAGCGUUGUCCGGAUUUAUUGGGUGUAAAGGGUGCGUAGGCGGGGUGUCAAGUCUGGUUUGAAAGUUAGCUGCUCAACACUUAGACGGGGCUGGAAACUGGGAUUCUGGAAUGGGUUGGCGGCUGCCGGAACGGGUCAUGUAGCGGUGAAAUGCAUAGAUAUGACCCAGAACACCGAUUGCGAAGGCAGGCAGCUACGACCUGAUUGACACUGAGGCACGAGAGCAUGGGUAGCGAACAGG
rnacentral:rRNA from 1 species